rnacentral:sRNA from 1 species
CUGACAGCCCCGGAGAAUGUUGCCCCCUCACCAUAAAGCUGGCAUAUCAUGGGCACCAUCAGUGCAAGCUCCUCCCCACACUGCCCAGCCAUUGCACCUCCCCUCUGCCCUGGAAGGGUGACAGGGAGAGAAGAAUUGCAUCUCUGUGGGCCAUUCGGUUUUUGGCCAAC